rnacentral:rRNA from 1 species
ACGGGAGGCAGCAGUGGGGAAUUUUGCGCAAUGGGGGGAACCCUGACGCAGCAACGCCGCGUGCGGGACGGAGGCCUUCGGGCUGUAAACCGCUUUCAGCAGGGAAGACUUUGACGGUACCUGCAGAAGAAGCUCCGGCUAACUACGUGCCAGCAGCCGCGGUAAUACGUAGGGGGCGAGCGUUAUCCGGAUUCAUUGGGCGUAAAGCGCGCGUAGGCGGCUGCCUAAGCGGAGUUUCUAAUCUUGGGGCUCAACCUCAAGCCGGACUCCGAACUGGGCGGCUCGAGUGCGGUAGGGGCAGGCGGAAUUCCACGUGUAGCGGUGAAAUGCGUAGAGAUCAGGAAGAACACCGAUGGCGAAGGCAGCUUGCUGGGGACUUAUCGACGCUCAUGCUCGAAAGUGCGGGUAGCAAACAGGAUUAGAUACCCUGGUA